AUUGAACGCUGGCGGCAGGCCUAACACAUGCAAUUCGAACGACAACAGGAAGACGUUUUUCUCUUUUCUUACGCGUGGCGGGCGGGUGAAUAAUUUGUGGAACCCUCCCUUAUGCAGGGGUAAAAUUCGUGAAACCGGUAUCAAAUCCGGCAUAACUUUGCAACCCCAUGGUCAAAGAUCUUAGGGCCUCUUGCCUUCACUUUUGCCCAGAUGGCAUUAGCUAGUAGGUGAGGUAACGGCUUACCAAGGCAACGAUCCCUAGCCGAUCUGAGAGGGUGACCGGCCACACUGGAACUGAGACACGGUCCAGACGCCUACGGGAGGCAGCAGUAGGGAAUAUUGCGCAAUGGGCGAAAGCCUGACGGAGCAACGCCGCGUGAGUGAUGAAGGUCUUCGGAUCGUAAAGUACUGCUAUCAGGGAAGAACAGAGGAGAAAGUAAAUCUGCACAUAUUGACGGUACCUAAUCAGAAAGCAACGGCUAACUACGUG
rnacentral:rRNA from 1 species